rnacentral:rRNA from 1 species
CCUACGGGUGGCUGCAGUGGGGAAUAUUGGACAAUGGGGGCAACCCUGAUCCAGCCAUGCCGCGUGUGUGAAGAAGGCCUUCGGGUUGUAAAGCACUUUCAGUGAGGAAGAAGGCCUGCGGGUUAAUAGCCGGCAGGAAGGACAUCACUCACAGAAGAAGCACCGGCUAACUCCGUGCCAGCAGCCGCGGUAAUACGGAGGGUGCGAGCGUUAAUCGGAAUUACUGGGCGUAAAGCGCGCGUAGGUGGCUUGAUAAGCCGGUUGUGAAAGCCCCGGGCUCAACCUGGGAACGGCAUCCGGAACUGUCAGGCUAGAGUGCAGGAGAGGAAGGUAGAAUUCCCGGUGUAGCGGUGAAAUGCGUAGAGAUCGGGAGGAAUACCAGUGGCGAAGGCGGCCUUCUGGACUGACACUGACACUGAGGUGCGAAAGCGUGGGUAGCAAACAGGAUUAGAUACCCAAGUAGUC